rnacentral:sRNA from 1 species
AUUUAAAGGUACGCGCCGCGGCCAAGGCCGCACCGUACUGGGCGGGGGUCUGGGGAGCGCAGCAGCCAUGGCAAGCUGUCUCCUGCUCAACAACGGCGCCAAGAUGCCCAUCCUGGGGUUGGGUACCUGGAAGUCCCCUCCAGGGCAGGUGACUGAGGCCGUGAAGGUGGCCAUUGACGUCGGGUACCGCCACAUCGACUGUGCCCAUGUGUACCAGAAUGAGAAUGAGGUGGGGGUGGCCAUUCAGGAGAAGCUCAGGGAGCAGGUGGUGAAGCGUGAGGAGCUCUUCAUCGUCAGCAAGCUGUGGUGCACGUACCAUGAGAAGGGCCUGGUGAAAGGAGCCUGCCAGAAGACACUCAGCGACCUGAAGCUGGACUACCUGGACCUCUACCUUAUUCACUGGCCGACUGGCUUUAAGCCUGGGAAGGAAUUUUUCCCGUUGGAUGAGUCGGGCAAUGUGGUUCCCAGUGACACCAACAUUCUGGACACGUGGGUGACACUUUUCUCUGUAGGCCAUGGAAGAGCUGGUGGAUGAAGGGCUGGUGAAAGCUAUUGGCAUCUCCAACUUCAACCAUCU